UGAAUACGAGAUGCUACGGCGUCGAAGCAGUCUAUGUCAUACUUCCAAGAAAAGCUCGCACUGUCAUAAACAAAUAAUGCCUGUACCAUAACCGACACAGGUGGGUAGGUAGAGUAUACUAAGGGGCGCGAGAUAACUCUCUCUAAGGAACUCGGCAAAAUGACUCCGUAACUUCGGGAGAAGGAGUGCCUUAUUUAUAAGGUUGCAAUAACAAGAUCCAAGCAACUGUUUAUCAAAAACACAGGUCUCCGCUAAGUCGUAAGACGAUGUAUGGGGGCUGACGCCUGCCCAGUGCCAGAAGGUUAAAGAAGUUGGUUAGCAUUCGCGAAGCUGAUAACCGAAGCCCUGGUGAACGGCGGCCGUAACGAUAACGGUCCUAAGGUAGCGAAAUUCCUUGUCGGGUAAGUUCCGACCCGCACGAAGGGCGUAAUGAUUUGGAUACUGUCUCGGAGAGGGGCUCGGUGAAAUAGACUUGUCUGUGAAGAUGCGGACUACCUGCACCAGGACAGAAAGACCCUAUGAAGCUUUACUGUAACUUGAGAUUGAAAUUGGACUUUACUUGCGCAGUAUAGGUGGGAGGCGUUGAUAAUAUUCUUGCGGGAUUAUUUGAGCCAUCAGUGAGAUACCACUCUUGUAAUGUUAGAUUUCUAACUUUGUAUCAUUAUCUGGUCAAAGGACAGUUUCAGGCGGGCAGUUUGACUGGGGCGGUCGCCUCCUAAACGGUAACGGAGGCGCACAAAGGUUUCCUCUGAACGGGUAGAAAUCGUAUCUAGAGUGUAAAGGCAUAAGGAAGCUUGACUGUGAGACCUACAAGUCGAGCAGGGACGAAAGUCGGUCUUAGUGAUCUGACGGUGCUGAGUGGAAAGGCCGUCACUCAACGGAUAAAAGUUACUCUAGGAUAACAGGCUGAUCUCCCCCAAGAGUUCACAUCGACGGGGAGGUUUGGCACCUCGAUGUCGGCUCAUCGCAUCCUGGGGCGGUAGUACGUCCCAAGGGUUGGGCUGUUCGCCCAUGAAAGCGGUACGCGAGCUGGGUUCAGAACGUCGUGAGACAGUUCGGUCCAUAUCCGGUGUAGGCGUUAGAAUAUUGAGAGGAGCCUUCUUUAGUACGAGAGGACCGAGAAGGACAUACCUCUGGUGUACCAGUUAUCGUGCCAACGGUAAACGCUGGGUAGCUAUGUAUGGAGUGGAUAACCGCUGAAAGCAUCUAAGUGGGAAGCCCACCUCAAGAUAAG
rnacentral:rRNA from 1 species